AUCCGGAUAGCUCUGUCGGUAGAGCAUGAGACUCGUAAUCUCAGGGUCGUGCGUUUGAGCCCCACACUAGGCA
rnacentral:tRNA from 1 species